GACGUUAAUAUUCAACGUCAUAAACAUCUAAGUUGAAUGUUUAUGAAUAUUCAACGUCAUAAACAUUCAACUUUGAUAGUACGUUGAUAUUCAACGCCAUAAACAUUCAACAUACUGGUGUUUAUGACGUCGAUAUUCGACGUCAUAAACAUUCAACUUACGGGUGUUUAUGACGUCGAUAUUCGACGUC
rnacentral:miRNA from 1 species